AGAGUUUGAUCAUGGCUCAGGACGAACGCUGGCGGCGUGCUUAACACAUGCAAGUCGAGCGGUAAGGCCCUUCGGGGGUACACGAGCGGCGAACGGGUGAGUAACACGUAACGAACCUACCUUCGCGUUGGGGACAACCACAGGAAACUGAGGCUAAUACCCAAUGGUCUCUUUUCUCAUAAGAGGAACGAGUAAAGACGCUUUUGUGUCACGCGAAGAGGGUGUUGCGGCCUAUCAGCUUGUUGGUGAGGUGACGGCUUACCAAGGCUAUGACGGGUAGGGGGUCUGAGAGGAUGGCCCCCCACAUGGGGACUGAGACACGGCCCAGACUCCUACGGGAGGCAGCAGUGGGGAAUAUUGCACAAUGGGCGCAAGCCUGAUGCAGCCAUGCCGCGUGUAUGAAGAAGGCCUUCGGGUUGUAAAGUACUUUCAGCGGGGAGGAAGGGAGUAAAGUUAAUACCUUUGCUCAUUGACGUUACCCGCAGAAGAAGCACCGGCUAACUCCGUGCCAGCAGCCGCGGUAAU
rnacentral:rRNA from 1 species